rnacentral:snRNA from 1 species
GUGCUUACUUUGGCAGCACAUAUACUAAAAUUAGAAGGAUACAGAGAAGAUUUGCAUGGCCCCUGCACAAGGAUGACACGCAUAUUCAUGAAGCGUUCCAUAUUUUU